GGCCAUUUAGGGAUGCACACUAUGUAGUGCACUGGACCCUGGUCAAAAGCAGGGCACUACACAGGGAAUAGGGGGGCCAUAUGGCUCUCGUACAGUAGGCUACUGAACAACUGGACAUUUGUAGGAUUAUCUCUGUGUUCAAGGUUUGACUAAGUAGUCCAACAAUAUUUAUCUACACUGAACAAAAAUAUAAAUUCAACAUGUAAAGUGUUGGUCACAUGUUUCAUGAGCUGAAAUUUAAAAAAAUCCCAGAUAUUUUCCAUAUGUGCAAAAAGCUUAUUUCUCACCAAUUUUGUGCACAAAUGUGUUUUUAUAUCUCUGUUGGGGAGCAUUUAUCCUUUGCCAAGAUAAUCCAGACACCUGACAGGUGUGGCAUAUCAAGAAGCUGAUUAAACAGCAUGAUCAUUACACAUGUGCACCUUGUGCUGGGGACAAUAAAAGGCCACUUUAAAAUGUGCAGUUUUGUCACACAACACCACAGCUGUCUCAAGUUUUGAGGGAGUAUGCAAUUGGCAUGCUGACUGCAGGAAUGUCCAUCAGACCUAUUGCCAGGGAAUUGAAUGUUAAUUUCUCUACCGUAAACUGCCUCCGACGUGGUGGUGGUGUGCUGAGAAGUAUUUCUGUCUAUAAUAAAGCAAUUUUCUGGGGGAAAACUAAUUCUGAUUGGCUGGGCCUGGCUCCCCAGUGGCAGUGAUGCAAACUGGUGAGUCCCAAAAAGGUGACACUUUUUUGUGUUACACUGAAACAAAUAAAUCCCUGCUAGGUGGAAAUGCAGGUUUUAACUAAUUAAACAACAAAGAAUAUGAUCUACAUGAUCACUCUCUGUGUAUAAAAUAAAAAGUGGUUCAUGUGAACCUAUCUCACAGCUAAAAAAUGUAAAGAAAGUGUUGGCUCUGUUUUUUACUUAACAAAUAAGGAACACUCAAUGUGCACUUAUAAAUCAUAACAAUUUAAAUCAAAAUACAGCUGUAGACAGAAGUCAAACAUCACACAUACAACUGAUGUCUCUCCUGAGUUCUGCCCCAUAGGAAAAGUCCCAAGUUAUUUUAUUAAGCCCGAAGUCCAGCCCAAGUGAUGUCACUGCAUACGUUAUUACUUUCUACUCAUCAGACCAAGCCCUUGCAUACACAGCUAUACACACUUGCAAGGGAGAUACAACAGUUCCAGUGUUGUCUAAGGGCUCAGCAGUAAAUGUCCACUCCCCAAGUUGAUUUAUAGUGGAAUGUCUGACGAGUCUCUUAUCUCUUCUACUCGCCUGCAGGGUUCUGUUUUUAUCUUUGAAGUGCUUUCUCCCAGACCCCAUGCAAUAACUCACACAUCUCUCAGACCGUGUCUUUAUAAGAGGCAGAGACUUCGAAAAGACUGGAACAAUUCUAAAACCUUAUAAUGAAUAUAUUUAUAUAUUGUUAAUCUGUAGUCCAGGACCCUAUAAAUGUGGAGGGGGAGGGGUCCCAUAACCCUUCCCCUUCUAUUAAUACAAUAUAUUACAAUCAAUUAUUAUAAUACAUCAACCAUUUGGUACAGCCCUUAUCAUGACCCCAAUUUGACUCCAUCAAAAGCAAUCCAAUGUUAUUUGUUGCCUAGACUUUAUUGCAAAUGACACUCAAGUCUUAAGAAAAAACAAUACACUAAUAUUGCAGUUAGCCAUGACAGCCUUUACAAUAGAACGCUUGUGACCACACACAUCUAAAUAUUGCACUUGGGUGGAAAAAACCCCAUCUUAAAGUAGAAAUAGAAUGAAACAAACGAUCAAGUGCACAAGGCUACAUGUGUGCAAAAAUAACUUUCACUGAGUAAAAAACGAAAUAAUCCCCCCUCACUCACACAAAAGUGUUACUGUCAAAUUCAACACAACAAAAGCAAUAUAUUUGGGCUACACUGCAGGUUAUUACAUCGCAAACUUUCUGCCUGUGGACAUCUGUUCUACAAUGUGCCAGCAGAGCAUGAUACCCUUUGUUGGCAUAAUUGAUCUCUUUCAGGCAGAGAACACACCUGGUAUACCUCUUUUUAUCCACUGUAUUGAAGAAGUGAGAAUGAGGGAAAGUGUGUGUUGUUCCUUUCACCUCUAUACUGGCAUCCAGUUUAAGCCAGGACCAGCUCCAGCUACACUUGAUCCCUGAAUCCCCUUGUUUAACAAGAAACGCCUCAUUUUCACCUAAUUAUCUUAUUCUGAAAAUUAACCACAUACUGUAGAGGGAAAACACGAGUUCACAGAUAGUAGUUCGUUUGUUAACGAGUUAACAUUUCACACAGAUUGCCAGGGUCCAGUAAGCAACUAAGCGUUAUAACUUGAGGAACUGGAAGGAGUUGUACCAGUACUAUUGGUUAGGUUACUAACGUUAGCUCAUCUGAUGUUGUAACGUUAGCUAGCUAGUUAUCUGACUUUGUUAGCCAGCUAAUUUUCAAACAAUAAACUCAAUUAUUUGAUCAGUUAAGUUGACUAAUGUUGCUCAACAUUUCUCUGGCUAGUUAACAGAGAAAUUCGAUCCAGCUACUAUAGCAAUAUACUUUAACAACGCUAACAAUACUUGUUCCAUCACACUUUCUACCUCACCUCAAACUUUCCAAAUGCCAGUUGUUUUUCGGUUACAGGUACUCUCCUCACCCCGGUCUCCGUGGCAAAUGCCAGUUGUUUUUCGGUUACAGGUACUCUCCUCACCCCGCUCUCCGUGGCAAAUGCCAGUUGUUUUUCGGUUACAGGUACUCUCCUCACCCCGGUCUCCGUGGUCAGGCUUCUCACCUACCUCUCCGUUAACGUUCAGGGCGACGCGCUGCUGUAAAUUAACGGCCCAACUGCCUUUCCAUUCUCCCACUCUUUCCGGAGCGCGCGCUGAUGCUGUAGCUAGCACAUUGGUUGUCUCUUCUCUCUUCAGUCUCGUGCUGCGUUCUGUUGUUAUGGGAACGAUUGGCUGAGCCUUGGAUACAGACAGUAUUGUGCUGCUGUUCUGUUGUUAUGGGAACGAUUGGCUGAGCCUUGGAUACAGACAGUAUUGUGCUGCUGUUCUGUUGUUAUGGGAACGAUUGGCUGAGCCUUGGACACAGACAGUAUUGUGCUGCGUUCUGUUGUUAUGGGAACGAUUGGCUGACCCUUGGAUACAGACAGUAUUUUGCUGCUGUUCUGUUGUUAUGGGAACGAUUGGCUGAGCCUUGGAUACAGACAGUAUUGUGCUGC
rnacentral:lncRNA from 1 species